GAGCUUAAAGCUAGGCGUG
rnacentral:misc_RNA from 1 species